UACGGAGGGUGCAAGCGUUAUCCGGAUUCACUGGGUUUAAAGGGUGCGUAGGUGGGCAGGUAAGUCAGGGGUGAAAGACGGUAGCUCAACUAUCGCAGUGCCCUUGAUACUGAUGGGCUUGAAUGAACUAGAGGUAGGCGGAAUGUGACAAGUAGCGGUGAAAUGCAUAGAUAUGUCACAGAACACCAAUUGCGAAGGCAGCUUACUAUGGUUUUAUUGACACUGAGGCACGAAAGCGUGGGGAUCAAACAGG
rnacentral:rRNA from 1 species